CGCCAAGGGGCCGUUCGAGCGUGUCUUCGUCGUCGUAGCAUCGCGAGGAGGCCGGGCGAGGGUGCGAUUCCGCCGUUCUCGACGUCGCGCCGGAUUGGGAUUAGCUUUUGAGGUGGGUUAAUCGUUGGUUAUCUUCUAAGUAUAUAGAAUGUCGACAUAUGUUGUUAUGUUGUUUCGUUGAUAGAAAUUGUUCGAUUCAUGGAUUUUGGCAUGUUUAACUGUAGAAUCUGAAUUGGAGCUUAGUUCUGUGACUAAGUAUUUAUACAUGUUGGACUUGGAUAUGAAUUAGGAGAAAACCUGCGAUUUGAA
rnacentral:lncRNA from 1 species